rnacentral:rRNA from 1 species
GACGAACGCUGGCGGCGUGCUUAACACAUGCAAGUCGAACGAUGAACCCGGAGCUUGCUCCGGCGGAUUAGUGGCGAACGGGUGAGUAACACGUGAGUAACCUGCCCUUGACUCUGGGAUAACUGCGGGAAACUGUAGCUAAUACCGGAUACGACCCUCGGCGGCAUCGCCAGGGGGUGGAAAGAAUUUCGGUCAAGGAUGGACUCGCGGCCUAUCAGCUAGUUGGGGAGGUAACGGCACACCAAGGCGACGACGGGUCGCCGGCCUGAGAGGGUGACCGGCCACACGGGGACGGAGACACGGCCCAGACUCCUGCGGGAGGCAGGAGAGGGGAAUAUUGCACAAUGGGCGCAAGGCUGAUGGAGCAACGCCGCGUGAGGGAUGACGGCCUUCGGGUUGUAAGCCUCUUUUAGUAGGGAAGAAGCGAAAGUGACGGUACCUGCAGAAAAAGCACCGGCUAACUACGUGCCAGCCGCCGUAACAC